CCUACGGGUGGCAGCAGUGGGGAAUAUUGGGCAAUGGGCGCAAGCCUGACCCAGCAACGCCGCGUGAAGGAAGAAGGCUUUCGGGUUGUAAACUUCUUUUGUCAGGGACGAAGCAAGUGACGGUACCUGACGAAUAAGCCACGGCUAACUACGUGCCAGCAGCCGCGGUAAUACGUAGGUGGCAAGCGUUAUCCGGAUUUACUGGGUGUAAAGGGCGUGUAGGCGGGGAGGCAAGUCAGAUGUGAAAACCACGGGCUCAACCUGUGGCCUGCAUUUGAAACUGUAUGGCUGGAGUGCAGGAGAGGUAAGUGGAAUUCCUAGUGUAGCGGUGAAAUGCGUAGAUAUUAGGAGGAACACCAGUGGCGAAGGCGGCUUACUGGACUGUAACUGACGUUGAGGCUCGAAAGCGUGGGGAGCAAACAGGAUUAGAUACCCCUGUAGUC
rnacentral:rRNA from 1 species